GAUCCUGCCGGAGGUCAUUGCUAUUGGGGUCCGAUUUAGCCAUGCUAGUUGCACGAGUUCAUACUCGUGGCGAAAAGCUCAGUAACACGUGGCCAAACUACCCUACAGAGAACGAUAACCUCGGGAAACUGAGGCUAAUAGUUCAUACGGGAGUCAUGCUGGAAUGCCGACUCCCCGAAACGCUCAGGCGCUGUAGGAUGUGGCUGCGGCCGAUUAGGUAGACGGUGGGGUAACGGCCCACCGUGCCGAUAAUCGGUACGGGUUGUGAGAGCAAGAGCCCGGAGACGGAAUCUGAGACAAGAUUCCGGGCCCUACGGGGCGCAGCAGGCGCGAAACCUUUACACUGCACGCAAGUGCGAUAAGGGGACCCCAAGUGCGAGGGCAUAUAGUCCUCGCUUUUC
rnacentral:rRNA from 1 species